GAUGAACGCUAGCGGCGCGCUUAACACAUGCAAGUCGUGCGAUCGGACCGGACCAACGUCCUUCGGGACCGAGGACCGGUUACGGAGCGGCGAACGGGUGAGUAACGCGUAGCUGAUCUACCUGUGGGUAGGGAAUAACACCGGGAAACUGGUGCUAAUGCCCUACGAUAUCAGGAGGGUCUACAGCUCACUUGAUCAAAGGAGCUUCGGCUCCGCCCACAGAUGAGGCUGCGUCCCAUUAGCUAGACGGUGAGGUAAAGGCUCACCGUGGCUCUGAUGGGUAGGGGACGUGAGAGCGUGACCCCCCACACUGGGACUGAGACACGGCCCAGACUCCUACGGGAGGCUGCAGUGGGGAAUCUUCCACAAUGGACGCAAGUCUGAUGGAGCGACGCCGCGUGGGGGAAGAAGGCCUUCGGGUUGUAAACUCCUUUUCUGGGGGACGAAUAGGGUAGGCAGGUAACGGUCUACCGAUGACGGUACCCCCAGGAAACAGCACCGGCUAACUUCGUGCCAGCAGCCGCGGUAAAACGAAGGGUGCAAGCGUUAUCCGGAAUACUGGGCGUAAAGGGCGUCUAGGCGGCCGGUUAAGUCGACGGUGAAACUCCUCGGCCUUACUGAGGAUGGUCCGUCGAAACUGACCGGCUUGAGGGACGCAGAGGGGGGCGGAACUCUCGGAGUAGCGGUGGAAUGCGUAGAUACCGAGAGGUAUCUCGAUGGCGAAAGCAGCCCCCUGGGCGUACCCUGACGCUGAAGCGCUAAGGCCAGGGGAGCCAAGGGGAUUAGAUACCCCCGUAGUCCUGGCUGCAAACGAUGUGGGCUAGGUAUCGGGCCACAUAUAAGGCUCGGUGCCGCAGUUAACGCGUUAAGCCCACCGCCUGGGGAUUACGUCCGCAAGGAUGAAACUCAAGGGAAUUGACGGGGGCCCACACAACCGGUGGAGCACGUGGUUUAAUUCGAUGAUAAGCGAAGAACCUUACCAGGGCUUGACCUACCGGUAGUAGAAUCCUGAAAGGGGGACGAUCUCGGACUCAGUCCGAGAAGCCGGCGCAGGUGGUGCAUGGCUGUCGUCAGCUCGUGUCGUAGGGACGUUGGGUUAAGUCCCGUAACGAGCGCAACCCCUGCCCUUAGUUGCCAGCGGUACGGCCGGGGACUCUAAGGGGACUGCCGGAGAAUAUCCGGAGGAAGGGGGGGAUGACGUCAAGUCAUUAUGCCCCUUAUGCUCUGGGCGACACACGUGCUACAAUGGGUGCUACAAUGGGGAGCGAACUCGCAAGAGCCAGCAAAUCCCAAAAAGGCGUCCUUAGUGCGGAUUGGGGUCUGCAACUCGACCCCAUGAAGAUGGAAUCGGUAGUAAUCGCGGGUCANCCAUACCGCGGUGAAUACGUACUUGGGCCUUGUACACACCGCCAUCACACCAACCGAGUGGGCGUUACCCGAAGUC
rnacentral:rRNA from 1 species